ensembl:processed_transcript transcriptional regulating factor 1
GGAGCUUAGGAACGGUUGCUAGGGCACACCCCCUUCCCUCUAAGCGAUGGCUGAGAGGCGGUGCAUGCAGAUGGGGACUCGGCUCGCCCCCCAUCUCACCCCCCCAAGUGGAGAUUGGUCGUCUUGUCGGAUUGCCCAGGCACUUGUUGCCGAAACAGCCAAGGCUCCAGCUCCAGAGGGCAGUGAAGGAGGAAGACACGGGAGCAAGACUACCCUGAAGGGGUCACCAGCGGUCUCAAUCCUGAAACAGACCUGGGUCUCUUCUUCCCACCUGCCGAGCAGCAUGUGAGCAGCAUGACUGGCCAGCUGCAGGAGAAGCCCCCAGAGCCAGGACCACGACACAGCCACCCGCUGCCAAGGUCAAGGUGUGAAGGACUUUCCCCCACCACGGUGGUGUCUGGUCCGUACCUCCGCCCGGGUGAGGAUGUAGGCACCUCGGCUCUGCUGAUGACCAGUUCAAGCCAACAGGGACCCCUGUCUCCAGCCACCCUCACAGACAUGUCAGCCGUGGAGUAGGGUGGACGCUUUCUCUCAUCUUCUCAGGGUUUCAGGAUUUUUUUUUCUUUCUUUUUUUCUUUUUUUUUUUCUUGGUUUUUGGUUUUUGUUUUGUGGCUGAACACUCAUAAGCAAAGAGGACAUCAUGGGGGACCAGCAACUGUACAAGACCAAUCACGUGGGCCACGGUGGUGAGAACCUCUUCUAUCAACAGCCACCCCUUGGUGUCCACAGUGGGCUGGGCCACAGCUAUGGGAAUACAAUCUCCGGGGCUGGGAUGGACGCCCCGCAGGCCUCACCCAUCUCGCCUCACUUCCCUCAAGAUACUCGGGAUGGUCUCGGCUUGCCUAUUGGCUCCAAAAACCUUGGCCAGAUGGAUACCUCCAGGCAGGGAGGAUGGGGAAGCCAUGCAGGGCCUGGGAACCACGUCCAGCUUCGUAGCAACUUGGCCAACUCAAACAUGAUGUGGGGGGCGCCCACCCAGGUGGAGCCCGCUGAUGGCUAUCAAUACACUUAUUCCCAGGCCAGCGAGAUCCGGACCCAGAAACUCACCAGUGGUGUUUUGCACAAGCUGGACUCUUUCACCCAGGUAUUUGCCAACCAAAACCUGCGGAUUCAGGUCAACAAUAUGGCCCAGGUGCUGCACACCCAAUCAGCAGUGAUGGAUGGAGCCUCUGACAGUGCCCUCCGUCAACUGCUGUCUCAGAAGCCUGUGGAGCCCUCAGCAUCAGCUAUAGCUUCCCGCUACCAGCAGGUGCCCCAGCAGCCUCACCCUGGCUUCACGGGUGGACUGCCCAAACCAGCCCUUCCAGUCGGGCAGCACGCUCCCCAAGGGCACCUGUAUUAUGACUACCAGCAGCCCCUGGCCCAGAUGUCCAUGCAAGGAGGACAGCCACUGCAAGCCCCUCAGGUGCUGUCCGGCCAUAUGCAACAAUUGCAGCAGCACCAGUAUUACCCACAGCCGCCGCCUCAGCAGCAGCAAGCCGGACUGCAGCGGAUCUCUGUGCAGGAGAUGCAGCAGCAGCAGCAGCCGCCGCCGCAGCAAAUUCGCCCCUCACCACCUCAGCAGCAGCAGCAGCUCCAGCUGCAGCAGCGGCAGAGUUCACUGCAGAUACCUCAGUAUUAUCAGCCCCAACCCAUGAUGCAACACUUGCAAGAGCAGCAGCAGCCAUCCAUGCACCUGCAGCCACCCUCAUACCACAGGGACCCUCAUCAGUAUACCCCGGAGCAGGCACACGCUGUCCAGCUGAUCCAGCUGGGCUCUAUGCCUCAGUAUUACUAUCAGGAGCCUCAACAGGCCUAUAGCCACCCCCUCUACCCGCAGAGCCACCUGUCCCAGCACCAGCAGCGUGAAGACAGUCAGCUGAAGACAUAUUCUAGUGACAGACAGACCCCGGCUAUUCUGAGCUCCCAUGGGGACAUGGGGCCUUCUGAUACAGGAGUGGCGGAUCCGGCCAGCUCAGAAAUGACUCGGGUCACUAGUACUUUCCCUCACCAACCGCUCCUGUCCCCCAGUGGGGUCCACCUCAACAACAUGGGGUCUCAGCAGCAGCAGCCGUCUCCCAGUGCGAUGUGGCCCCAGAUGCACUUACCUGAUGGGAGAGCCCAGUCUGGAUCCCCGGAAUCAAGCAGCGGCCAAACCAAAGGAGUGUUUGGGGAACAGUUUGAUGCCAAGAACAAGCUAACAUGCUCCAUCUGCCUGAAGGAGUUCAAAAGCCUGCCCGCCCUGAACGGCCACAUGCGGUCCCACGGGGGAAUGAGGGCAUCCCCCAGCCUCAAACAGGAGGAAGGAGAGAAGGCCCCACCGCCUCAGCCUCAGCCUCAGCCCCAGCCUCAGCCGCCACUGCCACCUCCGCCUCCUCCGCCGCCGCCACCGCAGCUCCCUCCUGAGGCAGAGCGCCUCACGCCUAUGGUCAUGCCCGUGUCUGUCCCUGUCAAGCUAAUCCCACCCAAGCCCAGCUCUCAGGGGUUCACCAACAGCGUCGCUGCCACCCCCACGGCCAGAGACAAGCCAGCCAGCUCGAUGUCGGACGACGAGAUGCCUGUGCUCGUGAGGAUGACCCUCUCCUCCCCUCACUCCCCCCAAGGGGCUGCCCCCCGUGCGCCUGCUGAAAUCCCCCGGAAACAUCCACCCAUCGCCGCCAAAGUUGAGGAGCCCCUCAAGACCCUACCAGAGAAGAAGAAGUUCCGGCACCGGCCUGAGCCCCUCUUCAUCCCACCACCGCCUUCUUCCUAUACUCCCAACCCCACCUCUUACUCGGGGGCCACCCUGUACCAGAGCCAGCUACGCUCCCCGCGAAUCCUCGGGGACCACCUGCUCCUGGACCCCGCCCACGAACUGCCCCCCUACACGCCGCCACCCAUGCUGAGCCCCGUGCGCCAGGGCUCAGGGCUCUUCAGCAAUGUCCUCAUCUCUGGCCACGGCCCUGGAGUGCACCCCCAGCUGCCCCUCACUCCCCUCACGCCCACGCCACGCGUGCUGCUGUGCCGUUCCAGCAGCAUUGAUGGCAGCAAUGUGACAGUCACCCCAGGACCUGGAGAGCAGACUGUGGAUGUUGAACCACGCAUCAACAUUGGCUUAAGGUUCCAAGCAGAGAUCCCAGAACUGCAAGACGUCUCCGCCCUGGCUCAGGACACACACAGGGCCACACUGGUAUGGAAGCCGUGGCCUGAGCUGGAAAACCAGGCCCUCCAGCAGCAAGUGGAGAAUCUUCUGAAUUUGUGUUGUUCCAGUGCGCUGCCAGGUGGAGGGACCAACUCGGAACUGGCUUUGCACUCUCUCUUUGAGGCCAAAGGUGACGUGAUGGCUACCCUGGAAAUGCUGCUGCUGCGGAAGCCAGUCAGGUUAAAAUGUCAUCCUUUAGCAAAUUACCACUACGCCGGUUCUGACAAGUGGACAUCCCUAGAAAGAAAACUGUUUAAUAAAGCAUUGGCCACCUACAGCAAAGACUUUAUUUUUGUACAGAAGAUGGUGAAGUCCAAGACAGUGGCUCAGUGCGUGGAGUACUACUACACUUGGAAGAAGAUAAUGCGACUAGGCCGGAAACACCGGACACGCCUGGCGGAAAUCAUUGACGACUGCAUGACCAGCGAAGAGGAAGAGGAGGCCGAGGAGGAAGAAGAAGACCCAGAAGAAGAUAGGAAAUCCAUAAAAGAAGAGGAGAGUGAAGUGCCCAAGUCUCCAGAGCCACCGCCCACCACUGCCCUGGCUCCCACGGAGGGGCCACCCAUGCAGGCUGUUGGCCAACAACCAUCAGGCAAUUUCAUUUGUGAAAUGCCCAACUGUGGGGCUGUGUUCAGCUCCCGACAGGCACUGAACGGUCACGCCCGCAUCCACGGCGGCACCAACCAGGUGGCUAAGACCCGAGGUGCCGUCCCCUCUGGGAAGCAGAAGCCGGGUGGCACCCAGAGUGGGUACUGCUCCGUGAAGAGUUCACCAUCUCACAGUACCACCAGUGGAGAGACGGACCCCGCCACCAUCUUCCCCUGCAAGGAGUGCGGCAAGGUCUUCUUUAAGAUCAAAAGCCGGAAUGCGCACAUGAAAACCCACCGGCAGCAAGAGGAGCAGCAGAGGCAGAAGGCUCAGAAGGCAGCCUUCGCAGCAGAAAUGGCAGCCACCAUCGAGAGGACUACGGGGCCGGUGGGGGCGCCCGAGCUGCUGCCCCUGGACCAACUGAGUCUGAUGAAGCCAGUCAAGGAUGUGGACAUCCUGGAUGACGAUGUGGUCCAGCAGUUAGGCGUCAUGGACGAGGCCGAGGUGGUAGGCACGGAUCUUCUUUUGGACGACCAAGAUUCGGUUUUGCUUCAGGGUGAUACAGAACUCUAAAGCCUCCCGUUCAUCACCUAGAGACACAGAAGCCACGGCCUCCACCUCUGUCGCCCCUAGAACCUGGACUUCCUGCUCCUUUGGAAACCCUUUUAAACUACCUGUUUAAAAAGCGGUCCUUUUCUUCAGGUUAAGGGAGGGGGAAAAAUCCACUUCUUUCUCUUUUACCUUCUUUUACAUUGUUUUUGUUGGGGGUUGGGGGGAAUAAAAAAAAUUGGCACAACUAUC